rnacentral:rRNA from 1 species
UGCCAGCCGCCGCGGUAAUACGAAGGGGGCGAGCGUUGUUCGGAAUCACUGGGCGUAAAGAGUACGUAGGCGGAUUGGAAAGUCAGAUGUGAAAGCCCCGAGCUCAACUUGGGAACUGCCUUUGAUACUGUUUAUCUAGAGUCCGAGAGAGGUUAGUGGAAUUCCCAGUGUAGAGGUGAAAUUCGUAGAUAUUGGGAAGGACACCAGUGGCGAAGGCGGCUAACUGGCUCGGUACUGACGCUGAGAUGCGAAAGCGUGGGGAGCAAACAGGAUUAGAUA